ensembl:lncRNA
CUCAGACAGGAUGCCAGCACACACAGGAGGCCACAGGCGAAAGGCCAACCUGCUGGGCUGAAGGUGGACCAUGGGCCACGCCUGAGUGACAGGAGCCCCUCUGCAGCCAGAAGCGCCUCUGGAAAAACCCAACCCGACAGGACCGGCUCUAGAAAGGCCGCCGGGGGUCAGCCCGCUCCCUGCGGAGAGCAGGGGAGGGGAGGGUCCCGGGACCCUUCCAAGAUUUUCACAGCAUCUCAGCAGCGCGCCCAGAGCUCAGUCCAUGACCGGCUGCCCCCGGAGAAAGAAUUACGACUUGUCCGGCGCCCCGCUCCCCACACCGUUGGCCCCGGGGCCCCCUGACGACAGCCAGCUUGGGGGCUCCCGUCUGCAGGGACCCUGUGUUUUCACCUGGCACUGAGGCCUGCAGAUUAUACAGCUGGCCAAGCUCAGUGACCUGGGGUCCACUCUGGAUGUAGAGAAAACACACCUCUGUCAGGGGCACGGGCAUUGGGUCCAGAAAACGCCCUGCUGCCGACCAGCAUGUUGAAAAAGGAGGCCACAGAGCGGGGAGGAACCAAGCCAAGGACAUCAAGGCAAAGGUGAAACCAAGUUCCCCAGAAACCAAAUUUCCCUUGCCAGGUUUAUGAACCUCUCUAUCCAAAACUUUAUUCUCUUUCUUAUCCUAACCCCAUCCCCCUCAAGACUGAGGAGAAUCAGAGAAAAGUGGGGAUUGAAACAAAGCAGGACACUGCAGGGCCUUCCCAAGCACAAAAACACCUCUGUGUCCCACGUUUCUUGUUUGCAGAAAAAGGCUGUAAUCCCAAAGGUCUUCCCUGAGUUCCAAAUAGCAGACUCAAGCAGUUACUAAUUAGCGAAGUGAGGGAGUGGGGAAACAGAAAAAGCAGUUAAGCAAGAAAAGUAAUGACAGCUUAAACAACAAUCGAGUUGUAGGUCCUCCUCAUAGAAUGUGUAUAACAAUCUGAUGUGUAUCUUUGAGUUGUUCUGCAGGAACUGGGACCCCCGCCCAGGUGGGGGAUGGUGACCACAUACUCACCACAAGCAUGCAGACCCCAGACUGGCUGGAACCAGAAGACUGUUGGUCAAAAAUCCCAAAACACCACUCUGUUAGCUCACCACCAACCAAUCAGAAGAAGGGCGCGUGAGCUGCAACCCUCGUCCCAAAUGUUGCCUUUAAAACCCCUUCCCUGAAAAUCAGUGAGGGGUUGGGGCUUUCAAGCAUGAGCUGUCCAUUCUCCUUGCUUGUUGCCCUGCAAAUAAACGCUGUGCUUUUCUUCACACACCACAGUGUCAGUAAGUUGGCUUUGCUACAUGGCGAGCAAGGUUGGUUCAGUAACAGAGGGUACCAGGCCCAGGGACAAAGGUCUGAAGUGGCCUUGACAGCCCAUGGGCUGUGUGAGAACAAGCAACGGGCUCCUGCGUCACUGCAGCUUGCACAUCUCCCUGGAGAGCAUCCAGCACCACGGGGACCCCAGGCUCUCAGGGCCUGGGGACAAGUGCCAGCAUCUGGACACACAUGGGCUGGACACAGGCCCCACAGGACACAGUUACAUGAGUGUGCAUGCCACAAAAGCCUGGGAGAAAACACAUAAAACUCUUCACAGUGUUUCUCAGCAAGGCAGCGGUUGAUAAACACCCUCGGUGUAAGGAGCGGUGAAACACAGAAUCCACGCAUAUUUCUGGGAACGCGACCAGCUCCUUGUCAGUAGCCCCAGCACAGGACGUGGGUGUGCGAGUACUGGCACACGGGGGCAUACACGAACGCUCAUGGCACACACAGCCCACACCCAAUCCACACUCCGGUUUCUCACAAAGCCCAGACUGGGCUGUCUGUCACGGCCAGCAAUAGGCGGACUCACUUACGUGUAAAUCGCGGGUACAUCUAAAUCCAAAGGGACAAGCAUGCUGCAAUUACGGUGAGCACAGAAAACUGAGCUUAAAGGUCAGGGGUCUCAGGUCAGCAGAUAUUUCAAACCCCGCCCCGUACUCCUUUCCCCGCAGCUGAUGCCCAAGGUGGCUGCCCCUGUGCCGGGCUGUCCCGGGGCCCAGGCCUCUCCUGGCAGUUAGGAAUCCAAGGCUCAGGAAAGGCGGGCAACGCCCAAGGGGGCCUCACUGGUUUAUGGCAGAGUGGGAACCACAAGCAGGGUUUGGGGUGAUUCACUUUUUCCCCUAGCUUAUUGGAUUUUUAAGUUACAGAGGAGCAAUGAAAGAUGGAAGAAACUGGAAUUAAUACUGACCUGCUUGGUCCAGCUGGGAGCAGCCUGUGAAGAGCCUCACCUUGUGGGUGUUAAGUAGGCAAUGACAUGUUUCCCCAUGAAGACAGCACCAGAGGAAAUAAGAAUCUUGUGAUGGGGACUUCUCUGGAUGUCCAGAGGCUAAGACUCCAUGCUCCUAAUGCAGGGAGCCCAGGUUCAAUCCCUGGUUGGGAAACUGGACCCCAUGUGCCGCGACUAAGCAUUCACAUGUGGCAACUAAAGAUCCUGCAGGCUGCAACUAAGACCCAGGGCAG